rnacentral:rRNA from 1 species
UCCGUAGGCAGCGAGCGUUGUUCGGAGUUACUGGGCGUAAAGGGUGUGUAGGCGGUUCUCUAAGUUUGGUGUGAAAUCUCCCGGCUCAACCGGGAGGGUGCGCCGAAAACUGGAGGGCUAGAGUGCGGGAAGGGAGAGUAGAAUUCCUGGUGUAGCGGUGAAAUGCGUAGAUAUCAGGAGGAAUACCGGUGGUGUAGACGGCUCUCUGGACCGCGACUGACGCUGAGACACGAAAGCGUGGGUAGCAAACAGG